UACAGAGGUCUCAAGCGUUGUUCGGAUUCAUUGGGCGUAAAGGGUGCGUAGGCGGCGCGGUAAGUCGGGUGUGAAAUCUCGGAGCUUAACUCCGAAACUGCAUUCGAUACUGCCGUGCUUGAGGACUGGAGAAGAGACUGGAAUUUACGGUGUAGCGGUGAAAUGCGUAGAUAUCGGAAGGAACACCUGUGGCGAAAGCGGCUCACUGGACCAUUACUGACGCUGAUGCACGAAAGCUAGGGGAGCAAACAGG
rnacentral:rRNA from 1 species